rnacentral:rRNA from 1 species
AGCGAACGCUGGCGGCAGGCCUAACACAUGCAAGUCGAACGAACCCUUCGGGGUUAGUGGCGGACGGGUGAGUAACACGUGGGAACGUGCCUUUAGGUUUGGAAUAACUCUGGGAAACUUGUGCUAAUACCGAAUGUGCCCUUCGGGGGAAAGAUUUAUCGCCUUUAGAGCGGCCCGCGUCUGAUUAGCUAGUUGGUGAGGUAAUAGCUCACCAAGGCUACGAUCAGUAGCUGGUCUGAGAGGAUGACCAGCCACAUUGGGACUGAGACACGGCCCAAACUCCUACGGGAGGCAGCAGUGGGGAAUCUUGCGCAAUGGGCGAAAGCCUGACGCAGCCAUGCCGCGUGGAUGAUGAAGGUCUUAGGAUUGUAAAAUCCUUUCACCGGUGAAGAUAAUGACUGUAGCCGGAGAAGAAGCCCCGGCUAACUUCGUGCCAGCCGCCGCCGUAAUAC